AGCGGCGGACGGGUGAGUAACGCGUGGGUAACCUGCCCUGUACACACGGAUAACAUGCCGAAAGGUAUGCUAAUACGAGAUAAUAUGCUUUUAUCGCAUGGUAGAAGUAUCAAAGCUCCGGCGGUACAGGAUGGACCCGCGUCUGAUUAGCUAGUUGGUAAGGUAACGGCUUACCAAGGCGACGAUCAGUAGCCGACCUGAGAGGGUGAUCGGCCACAUUGGAACUGAGACACGGUCCAAACUCCUACGGGAGGCAGCAGUGGGGAAUAUUGCACAAUGGGCGAAAGCCUGAUGCAGCAACGCCGCGUGAGCGAUGAAGGCCUUCGGGUCGUAAAGCUCUGUCCUCAAGGAAGAUAAUGACGGUACUUGAGGAGGAAGCCCCGGCUAACUACGUGCCAGCAGCCGCGGUAAUACGUAGGGGGCUAGCGUUAUCCGGAAUUACUGGGCGUAAAGGGUGCGUAGGUGGUUUCUUAAGUCAGAGGUGAAAGGCUACGGCUCAACCGUAGUAAGCCUUUGAAACUGGGAAACUUGAGUGCAGGAGAGGAGAGUGGAAUUCCUAGUGUAGCGGUGAAAUGCGUAGAUAUUAGGAGGAACACCAGUUGCGAAGGCGGCUCUCUGGACUGUUACUGACACUGAGGCACGAAAGCGUGGGGAGCAAACAGGAUUAGAUACCCUGGUAGUCCACGCCGUAAACGAUGAGUACUAGCUGU
rnacentral:rRNA from 1 species